CCUCAGCUGAAGUCAAGCAGGCCGUACUGAUUUACGUGAGUGUGGAUCUAGGCCUUUGUGUGCAAUGCUGAAGAGAAAGCAGCUGCCUAUGUUUCUGCUGCCCAACGUGGUGCUCCUGGAAAGGUCCCUGGCUUUAUGGAAUGACCGUUUCAGCCCAGGGGAAAGAAGUGAGUUUCAGUUCUUGGAACACCACCAAAACCUAGAUUGGAGUGUUCCCCACUGAAACAGACCAGGUGCCCAAUAAAGAAACUAAAAAUAACCCCCUGAAGAGCUGUACCUUCUUCCAUCCUGCUCCCUGGCAUGAGCCCUCUAACAUUAACCACACACCCAGGGAGACGAGCAUGUAUUUCCAACCACUGAGAUCACAUUUAUUUUUAUGUCUGGAGUGAACUUUGCCACAAAGGGUCAAGGCUUUCGGGGGAGAAAGAAGCUCAGCAAACCCCCACAAAAGGGACGUGAUAUUUCCUCCCCUAAAUGCAGGUGAGAGUCAGAUACAAUGUUAACAUGCUCAAGUUCCACUGAAGAUCCUAUAAAUAUAUGAGAUACACAGGAACCCAUGGCCUUGAGGCACAGGGCUUCCUAAGGGUCUAUUUUUAUUUGCAGGAAGCAGGAGAUGAAAAUGAGAGCAUCCAUCACUUCCACACCAUAUCGGGGGUCACUGGUGACACGUCCAUCUGAUCAGAUUCAGGUCCACUGUACUAGGCCGGAUCACGCAUUUACCUGUCAGAGACACGCAGCUCCCUUUGAAUUCAACGCAAAUUGUCCUUGUGUGAAUGAGAUCAGAAUGCGAGCCAGGGACAAUGCACCCAUCAUUCUCAUUAACCCUUUGAGCACUAGCAUUUCCCAAGCCAGCAGCCAGAUGAAUAGUAAUUUUCUCCCUAUGACCAGUACCCAAAUGUCUCAGGACAUCUUUACCUACAAACUCACUACAACAAGAUUUUCACAAUGGCUCGGAGCUGCAGGUCAACACCGAGAGAGCUGUGCGUCGGACAGCCCAGGGCUGGACUGGACAGGGUGACGCAGGUCAGAGUUGCGUGGACAGAGCUGUGGGGGUGCCCAGGACUGGAACGGCAGACAUGCUGCAGGACAGGAUUGAGAGGCAAUGGCCAAGCUGCGUGGAGAGCCCUGGACUGGAAUAGCAGGGUGCGUACUACAGGUCAGGAAGGAAGUGAGUCGACAAAGCUGUGUGUCCUCAGUUUUAAUAAGCAGCAAAUUCAUCCACACACAAUAAUGAGGAAAGGAAACAAAGUAACUAAAUGACUCCAGUAAACUCCUAGCAUGUAGAGCUCUAGGUGGACAUGAAAGAGAACUCACUCCAGAGAGAAAGAGGAUGAUGGGCUUGAUCCUGAGCUCCCACUCCUCCCACAGACGUAGGAUCAGGACCUAACGCAACAGUGAGGGGAGGUGGAAACCCAGAGGGACAAAGGUUUCCUGCCUUAUGCAAAAGAUAUAUA